AGUGAACGCUGGCGGUAGGCCUAACACAUGCAAGUCGAACGGCAGCACAGGAGAGCUUGCUCUCUGGGUGGCGAGUGGCGGACGGGUGAGGAAUACAUCGGAAUCUACUCUGUCGUGGGGGAUAACGUAGGGAAACUUACGCUAAUACCGCAUACGACCUACGGGUGAAAGCAGGGGACCUUCGGGCCUCGCGCGAGUGAAUGAGCCGAUGUCGGAUUAGCUAGUUGGCGGGGUAAAGGCCCACCAAGGCGACGAUCCGUAGCUGGUCUGAGAGGAUGAUCAGCCACACUGGAACUGAGAAACGGUCCAGACUCCUACGGGAGGCAGCAGUGGGGAAUAUUGGACAAUGGGCGCAAGCCUGAUCCAGCCAUACCGCGUGGGUGAAGAAGGCCUUCGGGUUGUAAAGCCCUUUUGUUGGGAAAGAAAUCCAGCUGGCUAAUACCCGGUUGGGAUGACGGUACCCAAAGAAUAAGCACCGGCUAACUUCGUGCCAGCCGCCGCAGUAA
rnacentral:rRNA from 1 species